UGUAAUUUCACAAUGUUGUAAACUAUCAUAACCUCAGUUUUUUGAAAAACACUUUUUAAACUGUAGAAAGUUACACAAAUUAAAAAUGUAUCACUGCUUCGAAAAUGAGGAAAUGUGAAAUAGUUGCAGGAUGACACACAUGCACAAAGUAUUUGUAUCGGGAGGCUUUUAGCUGCAGAUAAUAGAAAUACAACCACCAUUGACUUAAUCAAUAAAAAGGUUUUUCGGCUCACAAAACGUGGAGUCCAGAGGUAGAGGAGGCUUCAUUGAUUGACUCAGUAGCCGAAUCUCGGUACCAAGGACUUAGACUUUUUUCAUCUCUCUGCUCUUUGAUUCUAAAUGUCAGAUUCAACUUCAGGGUAAAGUGAUUCCAGGCAUCACACCUGGACAGAAAAAAUGUCCCAAGAAGAAAAGAGAGCUUGUUUUCCUAUGAGUUUUCUCUUCAGAGAGAAGAAAGUUUUCCCAAAUGCCCCCAGCAGCAAACCGUUCUCAAACUCACAGCCAGCAUUGGCUCCUGUGCCCAUCCUAAGCUUUCAGACCUCUGGGGCCUACGUGGAUCGUGGUAAGGUGUGAGCUUUCCCUGUAGCACUUGGCUGUGUGGGAAAGGGGUGGAUACAUGAACAAAAUAAGAAUUAGGAAGAAAGGGGAAAGUGGAUGCUGGGUAGGAAGCCAAUAGCUUAAGUAAGUUAUUACAACAGAAUAUGAUUGAUUUCAUCUUUAUAAAUUUGAGUACCUAAUUUUAAUACAUUCAGUCGAUGAGGUAGAAGGAAGUGCAGAGACAAUGUGACAUCCAGCUUUCUCCGUGGAGAUUUAAGAUGUACUAGUACUAACUGAGGAUGCAUAAUGACCUCUGUUCUCACAGCCAGGAGGCCUCAUCUUCCAGUAACUGGACAUUUCCUAGCAACAGACCUCAGCUGCAGAGCAAGGAAGAUCCCAAUUUGGAAUUGCAUCAUAUGUACCCCAGCGGCACAAAUAAGUUGAUUCCUAAUAUUCCUCUUUAAGAAAUGAUGAUUUGUAGAAGAUUUCUCUCUCAUUUAUAAAUGGAAGAAAUGUUAGAAUAUUAAAAUAACAAAAACAAAUAUAGCACGUGUUAAGCAUCUGCUAUGUGUCAGACACUAUGCUAAGUGCUUUACACAUAUUGUCACUUUGCUGCCAACAACCCUGCAAUAAACAUGUUCUAAUUUCAUUACAGCUAAGGAAACUAGAGCUCAGAGAGAUGACCUGUCUUGCCCAGAAUUAUUCAACUGGCAAAAUCUGGAGUCUGGAUUUGAUCUGGAGCCCAUUCAACAUGCUUGCACCACUACACCAGUGGUUUCCAAGUUGCUGGACAUUAGAAUCACCUCAGGAAUGUUGCAAAAUCCCACUGCCAACAUCACACCCCGUAGCAAUUAAAUUAGAAAGUUGGGGGCAGGAGAAGAGGAACCCAAGCAUUAGUACUUCUUAAAGAUCCCCAGGUGAUUCGAAUGUGCAGCAAAGGCUGGGAACCACUGCACUGUGUUAUGUUGUUUCUUUAGACAGGAACUCAAACCAGAAUCUUCUCUUCCAAGGCCAAGAGCAGUGAAUAAUAUUGUCUAGUGUAUACUCUCACUCCUCUGAUGCCCUAUCUCCGGAGUUCUGCCUUAGAUUAACUACUGUUGAGUUUCGCUUUUGCUUCUCCCGCCCAGCCUGCACCAAACAUCCGACAGAUGCAAGAGCAGUUUUGACUUUGUGAUGGAGAGUUUUCCCCAAUUAUAAAAAAAAUGCAAGAAUAAUAGAUUUAAUUUUCUUCUUACAAUCUAAUCAUUCACGCUAAACUAGAAUUUAGAGAGCAUUUAAUUUCUGACAUCUUUUUGCUUUAUAAUUUUUUAUUUUGAAAUAAUUUCAGACUUAAAAAAUGACAGAAAAGUGCAAAGAACUCCUGUGUCUUCUCCAGAUGAGGAUUCUGUAGCUGUCAACAUUUUACCAUAUUUGCUUUAUUGUUUACCGUGGCCCAGGUUCAUUCCCUAGUUAGGGAAGUACGCCACCCACCUGUCAGUUGUCACACUGUGGCGGCUGCAUGUUGCUGUCAUGCUGAAAGCUAUGCCAUCAGUAUUUCACAUGCCAGCAGGGUCACCCAUGGUGGACAAAGGUUUCAGCGGAGCUUCCAGACUAAGACUAGGAAGAAGGAUUUAGCUGGCCACUUCCAAGCAGUUGGUCAUGAGAACCCUAUGAAUAGCAGUGGAGCGUUGUCUGAUAUAGCAGUAGACGGUGAGAGGAUGGCACAAAAGGACCAGGCAGGUUUCCACUCUGCUGUACACAGGGUCGCUAGAAGUUGGAAUUGAUUCUAUGGCACUAACAACAAUUCCUAUUUUUUCACUCACUUUUUAUCUUGCUCUCCUUUAUUUUCUUACAUAAUUUAAAGAAUUUCCAAAAGGAGUUAUAGGUGAAAGUUAUCAAUGAAGCAUAGGAAACAAAUAGUAAAGUGAAAAGACUUUAAUCCAACUACAUUAAUAAUUUCAUUAAAUAUUAAUGAUUAAAUACUCCAUUUAAUGUGAAGAGAUUGCCAGAAUGGAUUAAAAAGAAUAUCUUAGCCCCAUCUGCUGCCCACAAGAGGUGUUUGUUAAAGAUGAUAUCUUUCCAUGUUUUCUGGCCUCCAUUUGUUUCUGAUGAGCAGAGGUCAUUCAGAUCUUUCCUCCCUUUCCUGUUUCUCUAUAUGUAAUUUGUCAUUUUUCUCUGGCUACUUUCAAAUUUUUCUCUUUAUUUUAGGCUUUCAUCAGUUUGAUCGUGAUAUGCUUAAGCAUGAUUUUCCUCAUAUUUAUCCUGCUUGGGGUUUUCUGAGCUUUUAACAUCUGUUAAUUUAUGUAUUUCACCAAGUUUGGAAAAUUUGCGGCCAUUAUUUCUCCAAAUAUUUUUCUUCUCCAUUUUCUCUCUUUUUCUCUUGAACUCCAAUUAAAUAUAUAUUACAGCUCUUGAUAUUAUACACAACUCACUGAGGCUCUGUCCUUUUCUGCUUUGCUUUCAUUCUUCUUUUCUCUCAGACCUUCAGAUUAGAUAAUUUCUAUUCAUCUAUCUUCUCUGUUCCCUGAUUCUUCUGUCGUCUCCAUUUGUCUGUUAAAAUCAGCUAGUGAUUUUUUUCUUAUUUCAGAUAUUGUAUCUUUUAGUUCUAAAAUUUCUAUUUGAUUCUGUCUUAUAAUUUCUAUUUCUCUGAUGAGAUUUUCUAUUUGUUCACUUAUUAAAGGCAUAUUUUCCUUUAUGUCUUUGAGCAAAGUUAUAAUAGCUGCUUUGACAUUUUGUCUGCUAAUUCCGGCAUAUGAAUCAUCUUAAGGUUAAUCUUCAUUCAUUUCCUCUUUUCUCUUGAUUAUGAGUCAUGUUUUCCUCUUUCUUAGAUGUCUAGUAAUUUUGAAUUGUAUCCUAGACAUAUGAGCAAUAUACUUCAGAGAUUCCUCUGAAGAGGUUGUUUGUUGUUGUUAUUGUUUUAACAGGCCAUUAUUUUGGCUCUGUUAAUCCUCCGUCCUUUGUCUCUCUUGUCAUGGUAGCAAGUGAAAUCUCAUUCACUUCCCUUGUCCUCAGUUGGGAGGUUUGACUCUGCCUCACACGUGCACAGUUCAGAGGUUAUCCAGAGGUUUAGGCAGAGUAUGCAGGACUGGGUCCUUCCCCUCUGUGACUUCAUCUCCUUUGCAGCACCUCCCUCCCCUGACUUUGUGCUGAUGUGGUAGACUUGAACUCUGCCUUCUGGUUCUUCCAGUGGGGUUUUAAAUAAAGUCUCGAUAGCCUCCUUUAUUUGAGUAUAAUUAUUUAAAAUUUGAAAGGAAGCACUGGUCAUUUUUGGUGACUAACCAUUUUUGAUGACUAAUUUACUUGAACAGUGCCCUUUAAAGUUCUAAUUUCCUUUAAGUUAACAUUUUCUGCCAUUACAUUCAUAUGCCUACCUACAAUAACAGUGAGAAUAUGCUAUGAACACUUAACCACCCACACUAAAAUUUUAAAUCUAAGUUCUCUUGGAAUGCUGUUUUGAUGAAUUUCAGUGUGGGAGGUGAGAUGAUUUAAAACUUCAUACUUUCCAUUAUAGUCAGAGGCAUAAUUUCUCUGACAUCUUUUUUCAUUCUGAGUAAGAAAUUACACUAGAAUAAUGUUUUUAAAUAAAAUUUUUCCAUGUAAUGAUAGUUUUUUCUCUUCAAUCUACCCAAACUAAAAAAGUUCAGAAGCAUUUAUUUACUUAUCAUGACUGCUAAGAAAUUAUAGUCAUUACACCUACCAUCCAUUCUCUUCCACAUUGUGCUGGGAAAAAAAAUACAUCACUUUGCUUCAGAAAAUCCCCUGUGUUUCUGUCUCCGUACUUCAUCAAUUGAUUGAGCCUUUGGAUAGCUGAGCAAAGCAUGAAAUAUACCAAACCUAGCCUCUGCCUCCCAGUGCUUGUUUCCUAAAGAGGAAAGUUCUUUUCAAUAUAGUGAAGAGGAAGAUUACCUUUCUUACUUGCCAAGUGGGCUACAAACUAGAAUGUAGAUGUCACAGGGUUGGUCAGUAAAAGAACAGAAAUAAUGUGUGCAAGUGUGAGGCCCUGGUUUAAGUUGUACUGGUGGUUGUCACGAAAGACAGUGGUAUAACAGAUAGGUAACUCAACCAUAGUAGAGCUAACUGUAGGUACAUUAUCACACGAACAAAUGUUUUACUUCAUCUUGUAUAAUCAAGACCUCAAAUCAUUAUUUAAUUCUUUAGCUAUUACAUGUUCAAUUAAUAUUCAAACUUGAAUUUAAAAAUAACGUUAAAAAUAAUAGCUAGAUAAAUUGAAUACAUUUAAAACUAGAUUUUUAAAAUAGUAUAGUAUUUAAAGAUCAUUUGGCCCUAUCAUAAAAUGGUGUUUGUUUGGGGACUUGUUUUUUAAGUGAUAGCAGCUGUCAGUAGAAGUGAGAAGCCGGAUAGAAUAGCAUUGUCUUCUUCUUUCAUAAGCUUCCUUCUUAUUCCACUUCUCAGAAGUUUGUUGAGCACGUAUUAUGGGCCAGGCACUGUGCUUAGCACAGCCUCUCAGCUCAGCUGAUCAUCACUCUCCAGGAAUGGCAGGUCAGUGUUACCCAACCUUGUGAUUGCUCAAGAGAAAUCCUUUGUGUGAAGUCUGCCGAUUCUGAAAUGCUGGCGUCCAUCUCAGAAGUACUUAGGACAUUGUGAAGGCUGCAGGAAACAGAGUGAAGGGAGCCCAUGGGGCUCCUAGGCUGCCAGUUUGUGACUUCAGAAUUUAGGCAUGACCCCUGUGACGUCACAAGCGCUGCCUGGGAGGAUCCCCAGGAGCUGUUAUCAGUCAGUGGCACCUCAGCAUGACUUGUUUUAUGUGCUUUUUUCCCAGUACUAGCUGCUCUCAAGAUGAUUUCAACCAGGAAUGAUGUGAGGUGAAGAGCAUAUGGAAGUCCAGGCAGGAGACAGCAGGCUUGGCAGAGGACACCCCAAAAAUGCAGCCGCAGAGUCAAAAGGAAGAUUUUAGUAAGCAAUAUUGAGCACCUACUGUGUGCAAUGGACUUCACGGGGCCCAUGAAGUGCAGAGAUUAGUUGGAAAUGGAAUCUGAUGUUAUGAAGCUGUGUCGGAGGGAGAGUGGCCUCUACCGAUGGGGUAGUGAGACAGAACAGGAUGCAGGAGGGGCAGUGGGCUGGCACCACUCACAGCAAAGUCCCUUCUGUAUUGGAAAAAAAUGAUACUUCAACGCUAACAACUGAGCUGCUCACUACUGUGUGGCAUCCGGCUCUCAGGAAUGGCGCUGCUGGACAGAAGAACAAUGCACGUUUGUUACCUGUGUUUCCACCA